rnacentral:rRNA from 1 species
AACGAACGCUGGCGGCAUGCCUAACACAUGCAAGUCGAACGAGACCUUCGGGUCUAGUGGCGCACGGGUGCGUAACGCGUGGGAACCUGCCCUUAGGUUCGGAAUAACUCCCCGAAAGGGGUGCUAUUACCGGAUAAUUUCUCCGGCCCAAAGAUUUAUCGCCUUUGGAUGGGCCCGCGUUGGAUUAGCUAGUUGGUAGGGUAAAAGCCUACCAAGGCGACGAUCCAUAGCUGGUCUGAGAGGAUGAUCAGCCACACUGGGACUGAGACACGGCCCAGACUCCUACGGGAGGCAGCAGUGGGGAAUAUUGGACAAUGGGCGAAAGCCUGAUCCAGCAAUGCCGCGUGAGUGAUGAAGGCCUUAGGGUUGUAAAGCUCUUUUACCCGGGAUGAUAAUGACAGUACCGGGAGAAUAAGCUCCGGCUAACUCCGUG